AUCAAACAAGCUAGGCCUCCCUCAAGGAUGGGCCUCAAAUUUUUUUUUUGGAAAUGGAUCCACUCCUGCCAUAUUCUCUCCUGCGCGGUUCUCAACCAUUUGAUUAAUCUAACGGUAGUGUGUUAAUUAGAGGAGAGAGAAACCUGAAUCCACUUCAUUUUCUUCAAUUUUACAGAAUAACCAUGAAUUUUACAGAAUAACAUCAUCCUCUCCUGAGAAUGUUGUAUGAGCAUUGAAGAAAUUUAGUUUUUAUAAUUUGUUGAGCCAAUUAAAAACUAUAAUAUAACAUAAAACAAAGUUGUAAUUAGGAUUUUGUUCCAGUUUCAAAAGACAAAUACAUGAGAUCCAUCUUUAAUCUUCAUCGCUGUCAACAAGAACAUCAAUUUCAGCCACCCAGAUACAAACAUACAGAAUCUACCUUCAUCUCUAUCAGCAAAAACUUGAAAAACACAAUUUCAAAUUGCAACAUUUUCCCUAUUCACAAAAUCUGAAAAGGAAAAUAAGCACUUGUAAGAAAGCAUAUAUAGAUAGAACAUUUUCACCUCUGGGUGUAUCGCAUAUAUACGGCACCUUGUAUUUAUCUUUUUAAAAAAAAUAUAAAUAGAACAUUGCUCUUUUAAAAAAAAUACGUUUUGAUUUUAUCAUCGGCCUCUUUUCAUUCCCAGAGCCGAGUCUCCGAAUUUUCAAGGAUGGCCUUAUGUAGGUUGCUAACUUGCACCUUAAUAAUUUUAGGUGGGUGUAACUUGCUAACUUGCAUCUUAGUGUUUUUAGAUGGGUGUAAGUUAGCAGCCCCUUUUAAAAACAAACUCAUAAAUAACUAAGGUUUCUUAAUCAGAAGUAGUCAAAAUUACCUUUAUCCAAAGGUUACUACUACUCCAAAGUAUAAAACUUUGGAAAGGAUCUCCAUCUUGACAUUUUGUUUAUUACAUACAAAUCCUUCUUCUCCUUUUCUAUUUCUAUGAAGUAAAUGCAUGUAGCCUCUUUGUGUCCAAAUAUAUUGCAUUCUUUAUUCUAUUUUUUUAUAUUACACUUCAUACUUUAUUUCUGUUCUAUGGAUAUCCAAUAAAUAUGAGAAGUUUGAGAAUUGAAGAGGUCCACACGUCGGUGUUGGUUGGUUGCCAGAUGGAUUUGUCAUUUGUGUUGGAUUCAAUUAACAGAAAUAAAUUCAUGGGUUAAUAGGUCUUUACUCCCUGUAAUAUAGGUCAUUUCCGGUUUUCCCUCUGUAAAAUUGUAUUUUUGAUUUACCCGUGUAAAAUAUUUUUGUUUUGAUUUACCUCCCUAAUAGGCCAAACAAAAACGAAAUUUUUUUUUAAAAAAAAAAUUGGUUUUUGUUUGGCCUAUUAGGG
rnacentral:lncRNA from 1 species